CAGUCGCCGCGGUAAAACCAGCACCUCGAGUGGUCAGGAGGUUUAUUGGGCCUAAAGCAUCCGUAGCCGGCUGCAUAAGUUUUCGGUUAAAUCUAUGCGCUUAACGUAUAGGCCGCCGAAAAUACUGUGCAGCUAGGGAGUGGGAGAGGUACACGGUACUCGAUAGGAAGGGGUAAAAUCCUUUGAUCUAUUGAUGACCACCUGUGGCGAAGGCGGUGUACCAGAACACGUUCGACGGUGAGGGAUGAAAGCUGGGGGAGCAAACCGGAUUAGAUACCCGCGUAGUCCCUGUCUCUUAUAA
rnacentral:rRNA from 1 species